rnacentral:tRNA from 1 species
CGCCGUUAGCUCAGUUGGUAGAGCAGCUGACUCUUAAUCAGCGGGUCCGGGGUUCGAAACCCUGACGGCGCA